rnacentral:misc_RNA from 1 species
UUAUCAUGCCAAGAAGGAAUAGUAAGUGAAGAUGAUGAAGAAGAGGAGGAAGAAGAAGAAGAGUGUGUGUACUGAGGGAAAAGACUAGGAGGGGGCAGAAAGGGAGAGGUUUGCUGGUGAGUUGGAGGCCUCAUGUUAUUGAUGUUCCACCAGUUGGGGUUCCCGGCCAUUAUUUGCUGCAACGGUGGUGAGCUCUGCAAAACACCUCUAUUCAUUGCUUCCUGAAGAAAAUCGUUUCACUUUCAAUAUCUGUUGAUGAAUUCACUCUUGCCCUUUUUCCUUUUCCUUUUCUUGAAGCUCCCAAACAGGGCCUUUGUAGAAAGUUUGAGGGGACUCGCUAUUCAGGAUUAAGUAGAGGAAAUUCAAGUCCUGUUGUUGUGAGAAUUUAAAUCAUGGAGGUUUGAGAACCUCUCUCUCUCUCUCUCUCCUUUUUUUUUCUUUAUCGCUUUGCUUUUUUUCCCUUCUCUUUCUUUUGUGUUUUUCUUUUUC